AACGAACGCUGGCGGCAUGCCUAACACAUGCAAGUCGAACGGGAUCCUAGCUUGCUAGGUGAGAGUGGCGGACGGGUGAGUAACACGUGGGAAUCUGCCUUUUGGUUCGGGAUAACCGCGGGAAACUGCGGCUAAUACCGGAUGCACCCGCGAGGGGAAAGAUUUAUCGCCAGGAGAGGAGCCCGCGUCAGAUUAGGUAGUUGGUGGGGUGAAGGCUCACCAAGCCGACGAUCUGUAGCUGGUCUGAGAGGACGACCAGCCACACUGGGACUGAGACACGGCCCAGACUCCUACGGGAGGCAGCAGUGGGGAAUUUUGGUCAAUGGGUGAGAGCCUGAACCAGCCAAGUCGCGUGAAGGAUGAAGGAUCUAUGGUUCGUAAACUUCUUUUAUAGGGGAAUAAAGUGCAGGAUGUGUCCUGUUUUGUAUGUACCCUUUUGAAUAAGGAUCGGCUAACUCCGUGCCAGCAGCCGCGGUAACAC
rnacentral:rRNA from 1 species